rnacentral:rRNA from 1 species
UACGUAGGAGGCAAGCGUUGUCCGGAGUUACUGGGCGUAAAGCGCACGCAGGCGGUCUUGUCAGUCUGUAGGGACAGGGCACAGCUCAACUGUGUCAGGCUUACGGAAACUGCAAGACUUGAGGGCUUCAGAGGGAUGGGGAAUUCCGGGUGGAGUGGUGAAAUGCGUAGAGAUCCGGAAGAACACCAAAGGCGAAGGCAGUGUCCUGGGGAGUACCUGACGCUCAGGUGCGAAAGCCAGGGGAGCGAACGGG